UACGUAGGGUGCAAGCGUUAAUCGGAAUUACUGGGCGUAAAGCGUGCGCAGGCGGUUCUAUAAGACAGAUGUGAAAUCCCCGGGCUCAAACUGGGAACUGCAUUUGUGACUGUAGAGCUGGAGUGCGGCAGAGGGGGAUGGAAUUCCGCGUGUAGCAGUGAAAUGCGUAGAUAUGCGGAGGAACACCGAUGGCGAAGGCAAUCCCCUGGGCCUGCACUGACGCUCAUGCACGAAAGCGUGGGGAGCAAACAGG
rnacentral:rRNA from 1 species